AUAAUCCAUGAGCUGUUUCAUGCUCUUGGUUUCUCAAAGAAACUGUUUGGCACUUGGAGAGACUGUUCCACCUCCUCUUGUCUGGGUUGUUCCCUUCGAGCCAAAAUGAUUCGCCCAGAUGCUUUGGGUCAGAUGAGAAUUUACACCCAGUCUGUGACUUCAGCCCUACAGAAGCACCUGAGGACUACUGAUCCAGAUGUAGGAGGGCCUCUAGAAAAUAAGGAUGCUGAUGCUAAUGGGCUCUCUUCACACUGGGAGUCCCGGGUGAUGCAGGG